rnacentral:rRNA from 1 species
CCUACGGGUGGCAGCAGUGAGGAAUAUUGGUCAAUGGGCGCGAGCCUGAACCAGCCAAGUAGCGUGAAGGAUGACUGCCCUACGGGUUGUAAACUUCUUUUAUAAAGGAAUAAAGUGAGGCUCGUGUGCCUUUUUGUCUGUACUUUAUGAAUAAAGAUCGGCUAACUUCGUGCCAGCCGCCGCGGUAAUACGGAGGAUCCGAGCGUUGUCCGGAUUUAUUGGGUUUAAAGGGAGCGUAGGUGGGUUGUUAAGUCAGUUGUGAAAGUUUGCGGCUCAACCGUAAAAUUGCAAUUGAUACUGGCAGUCUUGAGUGCAGUUGAGGUAGGCGGAAUUCGUGGUGUAGCGGUGAAAUGCUUAGAUAUCACGAAGAACUCCGAUUGCGAAGGCAGCUUACUAAACUGCAACUGACAUUGAUGCUCGAAAGUGUGGGUAUCAAACAGGAUUAGAUACCCCGGUAGUC